UGAUGCCGAUGAUGAUGAUGACGACGACGACGAUGAUGAUGAUGAUGAUGAUGAUGAUCAUCAUCAUCAUCAUUAUCGUCAUCAUCAUCAUUGGCA
rnacentral:pre_miRNA from 1 species